UACGUAGGGGGCAAGCGUUGUCCGGAAUUACUGGGCGUAAAGCGCACGUAGGCGGCUUUGUAAGUUAGAGGUGAAAGCCCGGGGCUCAACUCCGGAAUUGCCUUUAAGACUGCAUCGCUAGAAUUGUGGAGAGGUAAGUGGAAUUCCGAGUGUAGAGGUGAAAUUCGUAGAUAUUCGGAAGAACACCAGUGGCGAAGGCGGCUCACUGGACUGGUAUUGACGCUGAGGCACGAAGGCCAGGGGAGCAAACGGG
rnacentral:rRNA from 1 species